AACACAUGCAGCUCUUAGGCCCGGGCCGCACAUCUCAGAAGCCCCGUGUGCGACUUUGACUGCCGCACGAUCCUCUGCCGGGGGAGGUGGGCCCGCUGCGCUUUGGGAGCACCCGCGCCCGACACUGAGGUCUCGGUGCUGUCUUCGGCCUCUUCGCCCCUGAGGGUCCCCUCUGGGAGCAGAGGCGGUCGGAAAACCCUGGGGCUGAAGUGCAGGCUUCGGGAGGACGCGACCUGCCAAGAUCAGCUCCCGGCACGUGAUGGGAGCCUGGCUCACCUUCCCCCAGCACACGAUGGGGCUGCAGCCUCCCCGGUCAGCCUGGCCUGCUGGAAAGGAGCAGCUCUGUCUCCAGAGGCUUCUGGCGAAGCCCAUGGCCUCCCAAUGUUGGCUGAUUUAUAAGGAAAGAGGGGAAAGGCCAAGUGUGGAUGCCAUUAGCAUAACCUAAUCCAGACCCCAUGACAAGUCCAGGAUCCUGCAGGGAGAGGGCAUCCUUGAACGUGAAGGACUGGGUUUGGAAACUUGGCCUCCCGGAAGAAAGGUCUCCGGGCCCACCCACACCCCCCUUGUGGACGCCCCCGCAGUCUAAUACACUCCACAGUAAGACGGACCAGGAACAGCAGCAGCCUCCGGUGUCGGCCCAGUGAUCCGGGAGCUCAGAGUCUUUGCGUCCUCCAGAAUUGUCCUGUGAGUGACUCCCGCAGGAUGGAGACUUUUGUGUCUGGCUUCCUUCACUUCGCAGCAGGCUUCGCGGGACCCGUGUGGUGGCACCAGCGUCCAGCCCUUGAAACCCAUGAAAGAGGAUCCUGAAAGAGCAAGGGCAGCCUCCAGGUGAAGGUGGUGGGCGGCCUCCAGGUGAAGGCGGCCUCCAGGUGAAGGUGGUCAGCACCCUACCUUUGGCCAAGAGCAGACUGCAGUUUCAACUCAAAGAUUAUUCCUGAAUGAUGCAGCAAGCUUAAACUUCCUUAAAAACAAACCUCUGGGAAGAGGAAAAUGAGGCAAGAUGCUGAGAAAAAGUCAUCUCCCACUCUGCCCUUCUCUGGCAAAUCGAAGUGUCCUCUUGUGGGAGGCGGUGGGCAGCGACACUCCCGUUGGACGUCAGUGCUCUCGGGCCCGGCCACCCCGGAGCAGAACUCACUUAGGGCCUGGUGCCCCUGUGCCCAGUUCUCAGAAUGUCGGAGUGCUCAGUUCUCAGAACGCCGGAGUGCCCCAUUCAUAACCUGCAGCCCCGUUCAUAGCCUGCAGCUCCCCUCCUUCCUCUCCUCCUGGUCUUCAGGGAGCACCCCCAGCUCCCCUCCCCACUCUCAAACCCUCCUCCUCCCUCCCCUCUCUCAGUUCCCUGUUUGCAGGAUCUCCUCCUGCCCACUCUCCAGCCCAGGUCCUCCCCUCUCAUCUCCAAUUCUGCUUCACGGGCCAUGACAGCAGGCAGGCCAUGGCCUGCUCUCAGCAGUUUGAUCGAUGGACUAAGGAGAUCACUCCUACGAGAGUGAAAAAGUCAAGUGUGCCUGAGAUUCGGAUGGGGAGCUCUCAAAGCUAUGGAUUGCAAGAGUCAACACCGCCUCAAAAGUACAAGGCCGGCCGGGUGCAGUGGCUCACACCUUUAAUCCCAGCACUUUGGGAGACUGAGGUGGGUGGAUCACCUGAGGUCAGGAGCUCAAGACCAGCCUGACCAACAUGGUGAAAUCCCGUCUCUAUUAAAAAUACAAAAAAAAUUAGCCAGGUGUGGUGGUGCAUGCUUGUAGAUCCAGCUACUCGGGAGGCUGAGGCAGGGGGAGCACUUGAACCCGGGAGGUGGAGGUUGCAGUGAGCCGAGAUUGCGCCAUUGCACUCCAGCCUGGGCAACAGAGUGAGACCCUGCCUCAAAAAGAUAAAAAAAUAAAAGUACGAGGCCCGGUUUAAAUGCAGGAGGAAUCUGGUGAGCGAGUUUCACUCUGAUGCAACAGAAAAGCCAAGCCAAGCCUUGGCUGUGCCUGAUCUUGGCCGGGGAGCCACAGGCAGGGUCUGCUGGUUUCGGUGUCAGGGGCACAUCGCCAGGACCACGUGUGAGAUGGGAAGUGCCUUGAUGGAAAACUGAUACCUUUUUCUUUCCGAGUAACUUUAGAAUAUGUCGCUUCAAAUAUAACUAAUAUCCUGAUUUCAAUGGACUUGCAUGGAAGGAAACGCAAGUUCAUUUGCCAGUGGGGGGUGAGGACUGGGAGAGUGGGGAGCAGGGUGGGGAAGAGGGGACCAUUCCACAAGCUGCAAGAGCCUGGACACCUCCAGCCUUCAAUAAAUAGCAUUUGAAUUUGCUGUGCCUAA
rnacentral:lncRNA from 1 species